GGCAGUGGUAGUGGUUAAGGUGUUGGACUAAUGAGCAGAAGGUUGUAAGUUCAAAUCCUGGCACUGCCA